ensembl:lncRNA
GUCAGACGGCAAGGUGAAGAGACGUCUGCUUAAAUAGGACGACCGUGAAAGGGUAUGGUGUGUGUGUGUGUGUGUGUGUGUGUGUGUGUGUGUGAUCGUGUUCUGUUUCAGAAAUCUCCCGGCACUCGUGAAUGGCGAAUGUGUCGUAGGUGAAUAAUGCUUCGGUGGAAUUAGUAGGUCCUCUGUAACCCGAAACACAACUGGUGGCCCCUCAUCCUGACCAACUCCUGCUCUGGUGGUCAGACGGGUCUACAUGCUUCGCCUUUGGCUCCUUCGGCCUGAAAAGUGGUGUAAGUGCUGUCAAUCUCAAUGAAGGUGGAACUGGUGGCCACAGCUGGCGGACAGCUUCUCAUCUCCAUGUAACGAUUGGGGCUCGCGAUUCUCACCUGACACACUCGGCCAAGCGUGAUCCAAUGAUUAGAAACAUGGAUGCCUUUGACAAGCCUUUCACAUGCCAG